AAGCAAUGAAGAAAUUUAGCGUUGACUGUGAUCAGGGUCGAUCACAACCGUCUGAUCCUAUUGACGAGUUCCUCAGCGUAUCAGAGCUU